CGAGCGUUGUCCGGAUUUAUUGGGCGUAAAGCGAGCGCAGGCGGUUUGAUAAGUCUGAAGUUAAAGGCUGUGGCUCAACCAUAGUUCGCUUUGGAAACUGUCAAACUUGAGUGCAGAAGGGGAGAGUGGAAUUCCAUGUGUAGCGGUGAAAUGCGUAGAUAUAUGGAGGAACACCGGUGGCGAAAGCGGCUCUCUGGUCUGUAACUGACGCUGAGGCUCGAAAGCGUGGGGAGCGAACAGGAUUAGAUACCCUGGUAGUCCACGCCGUAAACGAUGAGUGCUAGGUGUUGGAUCCUUUCCGGGAUUCAGUGCCGCAGCUAACGCAUUAAGCACUCCGCCUGGGGAGUACGACCGCAAGGUUGAAACUCAAAGGAAUUGACGGGGGCCCGCACAAGCGGUGGAGCAUGUGGUUUAAUUCGAAGCAACGCGAAGAACCUUACCAGGUCUUGACAUCCCGAUGCUAUUUUAGGGGAAGACUAUGCGACUUACGGGCUGGAUGACAUUCUGACCUCUAUCCGCAAAGCUAAAGAAAUGAAAC
rnacentral:rRNA from 1 species